UACUCCUACGGGAGGCAGCAGUGGGGAAUUUUGGACAAUGGGGGAAACCCUGAUCCAGCCAUCCCGCGUGUGCGAUGAAGGCCUUCGGGUUGUAAAGCACUUUUGGCAGGAAAGAAACGUCGCGGGUUAAUACCCCGCGAAACUGACGGUACCUGCAGAAUAAGCACCGGCUAACUACGUGCCAGCAGCCGCGGUAAUACGUAGGGUGCAAGCGUUAAUCGGAAUUACUGGGCGUAAAGCGUGCGCAGGCGGUUCGGAAAGAAAGAUGUGAAAUCCCAGAGCUUAACUUUGGAACUGCAUUUUUAACUACCGGGCUAGAGUGUGUCAGAGGGAGGUGGAAUUCCGCGUGUAGCAGUGAAAUGCGUAGAUAUGCGGAGGAACACCGAUGGCGAAGGCAGCCUCCUGGGAUAACACUGACGCUCAUGCACGAAAGCGUGGGGAGCAAACAGGAUUAGAUACCCUGGUAGUCCACGCCCUAAACGAUGUCAACUAGCUGUUGGGGCCUUCGGGCCUUGGUAGCGCAGCUAACGCGUGAAGUUGACCGCCUGGGGAGUACGGUCGCAAGAUUAAAACUCAAAUGAAUUGACGGA
rnacentral:rRNA from 1 species